AAUACAUUUGUAAGAGGAAAGUCUGGACAUCACGAGAGAAGCAUAAAAGCUAACGGCUUUGGUUUUGGAAAUAAUACAUAACUCCAAAAUACAAAUAGUGCCACAGAGACUAUACUAAAGAAUAGUAAUAUUCUUUAAAGGUGAAAAGUCAUUUGGUGUUUUAUUUUUAAACUAUUUCUUUAUAGAAACGUGUAAACUUAAAGCUACAAAUGAGUUUGGCAACAAACUGGUAAACUUUAUGUGAUGCAAUGGGAAUGGUAUUUUUAGGGAUUAUCUCUCUAUUGUUCCAAAAAAAUAUACCCAGCUUGAGUUUUGAAGUAAUUCAAAGCCUAGAUAGAUUGGUACCGACAUACAGAAUCCGGCUUAUUACUCUCACAAAUUU
rnacentral:RNase_P_RNA from 1 species